rnacentral:snoRNA from 1 species
AGACUUCAUGCUGCCCAUUAACUUUUGGAAGCUACCAAAGUGGAGUCAGUAAAGGCAUAAAUUAAACUCUUUGCCUUCACUUUCUGCCCUUGAAUUGAAGUGUAGAAGCCACAUAAGGUACAGUG